rnacentral:rRNA from 1 species
AGUGAACGCUGGCGGUAGGCCUAACACAUGCAAGUCGAACGGCAGCACAGUAAGAGCUUGCUCUUACGGGUGGCGAGUGGCGGACGGGUGAGGAAUACAUCGGAAUCUACUUUUUCGUGGGGGAUAACGUAGGGAAACUUACGCUAAUACCGCAUACGACCUACGGGUGAAAGCAGCGGAUCUUCGGACCUUGCGCGAUUGAAUGAGCCGAUGUCGGAUUAGCUAGUUGGCGGGGUAAAGGCCCACCAAGGCGACGAUCCGUAGCUGGUAUGAGAGGAUGAUCAGCUACAAUGGAACUGGAACACGGUCCAGACUCCUAAGGGAGGCAGCAGUGGGGAAUAUUUGACAAUGGGGGGAAGCCUGAUCCAGCCAUACCGCGUGGGUUGAGAAGGCUCUCGGGUUGUAAAGCCCUUUUGUUGGGAAAGAAAAGCAGCAGGUUAAUACCCCGCUGUUCUGACGGUACCCAAAGAAUAAGCACCGGCUAACUUCGUG